rnacentral:rRNA from 1 species
UCCCGAGUAGCGGCGAGCGAAAAGGGAGGAGCCCAGCGCCGAAUCCCCCGUCCGAGAGGGCGCGGGGAAAUGUGGCGUUCGGGAGUGAGCGUUAAGGCGUUCGGACGUGCAGCAAGUCCCCCUGACCGGGGCUGCUUCCCAAAGUGGGUGCGAGGCCCAUAGCUGCUGGUCCGGCGUCUCAUGCGAUCUCCCAGGAGUCGGGUUGCUUGGGAGUGCAACCCUAAGCGGGUGGUAAACUCCACCUAAGGCUAAAUACCGCCACGAAACCGAUAGCCAACAAGUACCGUGAGGGAAAGUUGCAAAGAACUUUGAAGAGAGAGUUUCAGGGUACGUGAAACUGCUCAGAGGGGAACGGGUGGGGCCUUGGAGUCCUGUGGCGGGAGGGUUUCGUUGGCCGUUCGGGACGGUUGCGGGGUUUUUCGGCCCGGAUUGGUUUCGGUUGGGGGGCCGGUUCCCCGGCCCGGUUUUUGGGGGGGACGCCGCAUUUCCUUCCCGUCCGAAGGACGCCGCAACCGGCUCGGACGCGGCCAUGAGGGCGGGAGACGGCAGGUGACUAGUGGCACUCCUCGUGGGUGCCGCCUGUUGUUAGCCAUUCCGCCGCACGGCACGCGGCUGGGCCGUGGUGACGCGAGGCCCUGCAUGGGCCUCUACGCCUCCUCCCCUCGGGAGCGGGACAGACGUUCGCAGAGGUUCGGGACGCGAGACGGGCGCACCGGCACGACCGGUGGCCGCGACUUGCACCGUCCUUGUUGGUGAGCGCGGACCCGCGGGAGACGCUGGCGGUAGC